rnacentral:rRNA from 1 species
UACGAAGGGGGCUAGCGUUGUUCGGAAUUACUGGGCGUAAAGCGCACGUAGGCGGAUUUGUUAGUCAGGGGUGAAAUCCCGGGGCUCAACCUCGGAACUGCCUUUGAUACUGCAAAUCUCGAGUCCGAUAGAGGUGGGUGGAAUUCCUAGUGUAGAGGUGAAAUUCGUAGAUAUUGGGAAGAACACCGGUGGCGAAGGCGGCCAUCUGGACCGCAACUGACGCUGAGGCGCGGAAAGCGAUGGGGAGCAAACAGGG